AGAGUUUGAUCCUGGCUCAGAUUGAACGCUGGCGGCAUGCCUUACACAUGCAAGUCGAACGGUAACGCGGGGGCAACCCUGGCGACGAGUGGCGAACGGGUGAGUAAUACAUCGGAACAUAUCCAGUAGCGGGGGAUAACCUAUCGAAAGAUGGACUAAUACCGCAUACGACCUACGGAUGAAAGCAGGGGACCGCAAGGCCUUGCACUAUUGGAGUGGCCGAUGUCGGAUUAGCUAGUUGGUGGGGUAAAAGCUUACCAAGGCGACGAUCCGUAGCUGGUCUGAGAGGACGAUCAGCCACACUGGAACUGAGACACGGUCCAGACUCCUACGGGAGGCAGCAGUGGGGAAUUUUGGACAAUGGGCGCAAGCCUGAUCCAGCCAUGCCGCGUGAGUGAAGAAGGCCUUCGGGUUGUAAAGCUCUUUCGGUGAAGACGAAACGGUUCAUGCUAAUAACGUGAACUAAUGACGGUACUCACAGAAGAAGCACCGGCUAACUACGUGCCAGCAGCCGCGGUAAUACGUAGGGUGCAGGCGUUAAUCGGAAUUACUGGGCGUAAAGCGUGCGCAGGCGGUUUGCUAAGACAGGUGUGAAAUCCCCGGGCUUAACCUGGGAAUUGCGCUUGUAACUGGCAAGCUAGAGUGUGGCAGAGGGGGGUGGAAUUCCACGUGUAGCAGUGAAAUGCGUAGAUAUGUGGAGGAACACCGAUGGCGAAGGCAGCCCCCUGGUUAACACUGACGCUCAUGCACGAAAGCGUGGGGAGCAAACAGGAUUAGAUACCCUGGUAGUCCACGCCCUAAACUAUGUCAACUAGUUGUCGGGGAAGAAAUUCCUUGGUAACGAAGCUAACGCGUGAAGUUGACCGCCUGGGGAGUACGGCCGCAAGGUUAAAACUCAAAGGAAUUGACGGGGACCCGCACAAGCGGUGGAUUAUGUGGAUUAAUUCGAUGCAACGCGAAAAACCUUACCUACCCUUGACAUGCUAGGAAGCCCGCAGAGAUGUGGGUGUGCCCGAAAGGGAACCUAGACACAGGUGCUGCAUGGCUGUCGUCAGCUCGUGUCGUGAGAUGUUGGGUUAAGUCCCGCAACGAGCGCAACCCUUGCCAUUAGUUGCUACAUUCAGUUGGGCACUCUAAUGGGACCGCCGGUGACAAACCGGAGGAAGGUGGGGAUGACGUCAAGUCCUCAUGGCCCUUAUGGGUAGGGCUUCACACGUAAUAUAAUGGUCGGUACAGAGGGCUGCUAACCCGCAAGGGGGAGCUAAUCCCAGAAAGCCGAUCGUAGUCCGGAUUGUAGUCUGCAACUCGACUGCAUGAAGCCGGAAUCGCUAGUAAUCGCGGAUCAGCAUGUCGCGGUGAAUACGUUCCCGGGUCUUGUACACACCGCCCGUCACACCAUGGGAGUGGGUUCCACCAGAAGUAGUUAGCCUAACCGCAAGGA
rnacentral:rRNA from 1 species